UAACUUUUAAAAAUCACUAUUCAGAAAUUCUGGUUUAUAUAAUCAGAACAAACUAAUUUUCAAUGUAUUUAACUAUAUAAGGAGUAAAACAUCUGUAUGUCAAAAACUAACAAAAUACUCCCAUUAAAUAUGAAAACAUAAAGGCCAUCUCUAAACUGAGAAAAAUUAUCUGUAACAUAGCUGAAAAUAAAUGAUAUAAAUAGUUCACAUAAAUUAAAAAUAAAAUGAUAAAUACUCAAUUUUAAAAUAGGCAAAGGGCAUGAACCAACAUCUUCUAGGAUUCAAAUAACCAACAACCAUAUGACUCUCUGUAACUCACUAAAAAUUCAGAAUGUGAUUUCAUCCUUCAGCUAUCAAAUGGGGGCUAGUAUUUCUUUCUUGUAAUUCUUAAUAUUACAAAAAUUCAGACACAGACACUUUCAUACAUGCUGGUGGAAAUCAGUUGAUCCAGUCUUUGGGAAUAUUUAAUUUGCCUUGAAAAAUGUGUAUAACCUAGGAUUUUUAGGAAGUGAAGCUGCCCUGGAUGAUAUUUGCAUGGCAUGGUGGACACGUGUCAUUUCCUGUCUGUCCAAACCCACAGCAUGCACAAAUGUGAACCCUGAUGUGAACUGUGGACUUUGGAUAAUAAUGAGGUGUCACUGUAAGUUCACUGAUUACAACUAAUGGGCCGCUCUGCUUAGGGAGGUUGAUAAUGUGGAAUGUUGUGUAGAUUGUUCACUGCACCCUUAUUUGUAACUGGAUUAGUAUAUAUUCAGUGUUCAAUAGUUUGAGAAUGUUAAGUGUUGGAAUGGCUGUGUGAUGGAUGGAAUACUAUGUAGACUUUGAUAAUCAUGAACAGAUUAAAAAAUCAUAAAACAAGUUGUUUAUGAUAUACUAAAGACAAAAAAAUCACAAAGCAGUGCAAUACAAUCUCAAUUUGUGUGUCUGGGAUACAGUGUGUAGGUGGCAUAGAGGACGUGAGCAUCCACAGAGAAAAAGACCAUGAGUAUGAUAUGAAACAUUAACUAUGGCUGUCCCUAGAUGGUGACACAGUUACAUGUUUGUUUGUUUGUUUUGUACAUUUCCAUAUUGCUCAAAUUUUAUUAUACAAUGAUCAUGUAACAUAUCUUCCC
rnacentral:lncRNA from 1 species